UUUUUUUUUUUUUUUAACAUUUCCUUAGGUAAUUUUUAUUUUUUCUGUUUUCAGAUUUAGACUCUAUUGAGCCAUUAAUGAAAAGACAAAAAAUGAGUAAAGACUUGCACUACAUCUGAAGUGAAAAAAUGUCUUGCUAUUCUAUUCCAUUGCACUGCAUUCAGGCAGGUUUCAGAUCUUUUCUUUUAGAAGAAACGUCAGCCUCCCUUCUCCAACAUCCAGCACAGGGCAAUGAUGAGCAGCAACACGGAAUCCUUCAGCAUUUUACUGAGGCAGAGAAGUGGUGAACUUGAGAAUCAAUCUGUGCUCAGGGGGCAAGUCUCAUUCCCUUCAUUACUCUCAAAGGACAAAGACAACACUGAGGAGGCCCUUCAGAAAUUUGAUUUGCUAUCUGAAUUUCCAGAAGAAGAGGAGAGGGAAUAUGUCCUUAGACCCUUCAUCAUCCUUUUUUUCACAUAUGGAGGACAUGCAUCUGUUUUUAGAUAAUGUGAGAGGAUAAAGGAAAAUAACUGUUUUGUGAGAAAAUGUAGCAUAAAUACACAUGUCCCUCAUUGUUCAGUUACAACCUACAAUUCUUGUUCUAUAUUUUAUAUAUUGUUUAACUUUUUUGUAAUAAAUGUUGCAACCCAACUUC